GGAUUCCCCUAGUAACUGCGAGUGAAGCGGGAAAAGCUCAAAUUUAAAAUCUGGCAGUCUUUGGCUGUCCGAGUUGUAAUCUAGAGAAGUGCUAUCCGCGCUGGACCGUGUACAAGUCUCCUGGAAUGGAGCGUCAUAGAGGGUGAGAAUCCCGUCUUUGACACGGACUACCAGGGCUUUGUGAUGUGCUCUCAAAGAGUCGAGUUGUUUGGGAAUGCAGCUCAAAAUGGGUGGUAAAUUCCAUCUAAAGCUAAAUAUUGGCGAGAGACCGAUAGCGAACAAGUACCGUGAGGGAAAGAUGAAAAGAACUUUGGAAAGAGAGUUAAACAGUACGUGAAAUUGCUGAAAGGGAAACGCUUGAAGUCAGUCGCGUUGUCCAGGGAUCAACCUUGCUUUUGCUUGGUGCACUUUCUGGUUGACGGGUCAGCAUCAAUUUUGACUGUUGGAAAAAGAUCAAGGGAAUGUGGCAUCUUUGGAUGUGUUAUAGCUCUUGGUUGCAUACAAUGGUUGGGAUUGAGGAACUCAGCACGCCGCAAGGCCGGGUUUUUAACCACGUACGUGCUUAGGAUGCUGGCAUAAUGGCUUUAAUCGACCCGUCUUGAAACACGGACCAAGGAGUCUAACAUGCCUGCGAGUGUUUGGGUGGAAAACUCGAGCGCGUAAUGAAAGUGAAAGUUGAGAUCCCUGUCGUGGGGAGCAUCGACGCCCAGACCAGACCUUUUGUGACGGAUCUGCGGUAGAGCAUGUAUGUUGGGACCCGAAAGAUGGUGAACUAUGCCUGAAUAGGGUGAAGCCAGAGGAAACUCUGGUGGAGGCUCGUAGCGAUUCUGACGUGCAAAUCGAUCGUCAAAUUUGGGUAUAGGGGCGAAAGACUAAUCGA
rnacentral:rRNA from 1 species